rnacentral:lncRNA from 1 species
CGAAUUUGAAUUUUAAAACUUAGCAAUUCAACAAAUAGACAGAACACCACUGACCAUGACCGAAAAUCGAUCACGACAACCUCAAUAGAAUUUAAACUUACAACCUCAAUUGACCUUAGAGAUGAAAUAGGAGUAAUGUGGAGCAAGGGAAGUUAGGACUCGAAAAGAUUUCCAAACUUUAAUGAAAGAGGUUUACGAUUCCUGCAACUGAUCUCCUCCCUCUAUUUUUGAUUUCUUUCCUAUCCUGGCUGCCACUAGAAUUCAAGACCUUAAGGUUUUGGGUUGGAAUGCUAAUAUGCAUUGCUUUAGAAUUGUAGGGAAAAGGCAG